UGGCGAACGGGUGAGUAACACGUGGGUGAUCUGCCCUGCACUUCGGGAUAAGCCUGGGAAACUGGGUCUAAUACCGGAUAGGACGAUGGUAUGGAUGCCAUUGUGGAAAGUUUUUCGGUGUGGGAUGAGCUCGCGGCCUAUCAGCUUGUUGGUGGGGUAAUGGCCUACCAAGGCGUCGACGGGUAGCCGGCCUGAGAGGGUGUACGGCCACAUUGGGACUGAGAUACGGCCCAG
rnacentral:rRNA from 1 species